rnacentral:lncRNA from 1 species
CAAAAUCCAGUUUGAACCACAAAUGGAAACACAGUAUUUUCAAGAUAUUUCUAAAGCUAUUACUCUACAUAAUAAUGAAACAGAGUUAACAGCAUAAACAUAAUGUGAACUUUUCAUUCCAGUAGUUUAUAUAUUCUCAUAGGACGAAUUUGUUUUUUAUUUAACACCACUUAAUGGAACUAUAUAAAACCAAAAAGGUAUUUUUUAAAUGACUUGUCACAUCAAUGUGUUUAAAAACACAAGUCUGUAAAUGCUUGGGUAAAGAAGCAGUCUUCACUUUACAGUGAGUUUGUAAGGUUUUGCCUUUGUAAGCAAGGAGAGUAGAGUGUGUUUUUUGCUGCAAACUCUUUUUAUACUUAAUCUUACAAGAGUACUGGUAUAUUGAGAACCCGUAUAUCUAUCAUGUUUUAUGAGAUCCUGAUCAACUUGAUUCUUUGUAAUUCCAUCUCAUCAUCGCAGCAAGGUCUAUUGGUCCUUUUCAUCACCUGCUGCUGAAGAGAAAAAGGCCUGGGAAGAUUCUUGCUGUCUAAUCCACUGUUCCCUUAGAGCAAAGGAUAGGGCUCAGAGAAGGGAAGGAUUUAGCUGGUGAUAAAAUAUGUGUUAAAUCUAAGAUGUGUGCCCUAGAAGACAACCCUGCCUCCAAUCUCCUCUUAUCUUUCAGUCAAGUCACUUCCAACACUGUAAGUAAAAUAUAAGGUGUUCUUAAAUUUGUGUCAUCAAACAUGAAGCUUCUCCUGUUACAGUUAUCAAUU